rnacentral:lncRNA from 1 species
GACGUGGCCCUCACGUGAGCAGGAGCCGACGUGUGCAAACGUCCUUCUAACACUGGUCUUCCUUAGGUCUGUUUGUGAUCUCCCCGUUAUUGCUUUAGAGAACCAGCUGGCUGCGGUGGAGGGAAGGAGGAGGAGGAGGUAACUGCCUGAAUCCCAGCAGAAUUUGGAGCAAAGACUAAUCCACCACGAAUUCCUGCAGAACCCCGAAUCUGGAAAGGCUGGUAUUGGGAUUCUCAGACCUGUUCUUGUAUCCACUGAGUCAAUCAUCAAUCAUCUUUGCUGUGUCUCCCGUGGCUGUGAAUCCUGCACCUGAAGGCCUGUCCAACCCUAACAGCAGGAAGGAGAGAAUUUGUCCAGAUCCAAAUCU